CCUACGUGUGGCAGCAGUGAGGAAUAUUGGUCAAUGGACGAGAGUCUGAACCAGCCAAGUAGCGUGAAGGAUGACUGCCCUAUGGGUUGUAAACUUCUUUUAUAUGGGAAUAAAAUGUUCCACGUGUGGGAUUUUGUAUGUACCAUAUUAAUAAGGAUCGGCUAACUCCGUGCCAGCAGCCGCGUUAAUACGGAGAAUCCGAGCGUUAUCCGGAUUUAUUGGGUUUAAAGGGGGCCUAGGUGGAUUGUUAAGUCAGUUGUGAAAGUUUGCGGCUCAACCGUAAAAUUGCAGUUGAAACUGGCAGUGUUUAGUACAGUAGAGGUGGGCGGAAUUCGUGGUGUAGCGGUGAAAUGCUUAGAUAUCACGAAGAACUCCGAUUGCGAAGGCAGUUCACUGGACUGCAACUGACACUGAGGCUCGAAAGUGUGGGUAUCAAACAGGAUUAGAUACCCGAGUAGUC
rnacentral:rRNA from 1 species